UCCGUAGGUGAACCUGCGGAAGGAUCAGUUGAGA
rnacentral:rRNA from 1 species